rnacentral:rRNA from 1 species
AAGCGGCACAGCUCAAAUUUGAAAUCUGGUCCCCAGGGCCCGAGUUGUAAUUUGUAGAGGAUGCUUUUGGCGAGGCGCCUUCCGAGUUUCCUGGAACGGGACGCCACAGAGGGUGAGAGCCCCGUCUGGUCGGAUGCCAAGCCUAUGUAAAGCUCCUUCGACGAGUCGAGUAGUUUGGGAAUGCUGCUCAAAAUGGGAGGUAUAUGUCUUCUAAAGCUAAAUACCGGCCAGAGACCGAUAGCGCACAAGUAGAGUGAUCGAAAGAUGAAAAGCACUUUGAAAAGAGGGUUAAAAAGUACGUGAAAUUGUUGAAAGGGAAGCGCCUAUGACCAGACUUGGGCCCGGUGAAUCAUCCAGCGUUCUCGCUGGUGCACUUUGCCGGGCACAGGCCAGCAUCAGUUUGGCGCGGGGGAUAAAGGCUUCGGGAAUGUGGCUCCCCUCGGGGAGUGUUAUAGCCCGUUGUGUAAUACCCUGCGCCGGACUGAGGUACGCGCUCCGCAAGGAUGCUGGCGUAAUGGUCAUCAGCGACCCGUCUUGAAACACGGACCAAGGAGUCGUCUUCGUAUGCGAGUGUUCGGGUGUAAAACCCCUACGCGUAAUGAAAGUGAACGCAGGUGAGAGCUUCGGCGCAUCACCGACCGAUCCUGAUGUUCUCGGAUGGAUUUGAGUAAGAGCAUACGGGGCCGGACCCGAAAGAAGGUGAACUAUGCCUGUAUAGGGUGAAGCCAGAGGAAACUCUGGUGGAGGCUCGCAGCGGUUCUGACGUGCAAAUCGAUCGUCAAAUAUGGGCAUGGGGGCGAAAGACUAAUCGAACCUUCUAGUAGCUGGUUUCCGCCGAAGUUUCCCUCAGGAUAGCAGUGUUGAACUCAGUUUUAUGAGGUAAAGCGAAUGAUUAGGGACUCGGGGGCGCUAUAUAGCCUUCAUCCAUUCUCAAACUUUAAA